rnacentral:rRNA from 1 species
ACGCUGGCGGCACGCCUAACACAUGCAAGUCGAACGAAGUAGCAAUACUUAGUGGCAGACGGGUGAGUAACAUGUGGGUAUCUACCCUUUGGCCUGGAAUAACACGAGGAAACUUGUGCUAAUACCGGAUAAGUCUUUACAGAGAAAGCUUUAUGCACCAUUGGAUGAGCCUGCACUUGAUUAGUUUGUUGGUAGGGUAAUGGCCUACCAAGACUUUGAUCAAUAGCUGAUUUGAGAGGAUGAUCAGCCACAUUGGGACUGAGACACGGCCCAAACUCCUACGGGAGGCAGCAGUGGGGAAUCUUGCACAAUGGAGGAAACUCUGAUGCAGCGAUGCCGCGUGAGUGAAGAAGGCCCUUGGGUUGUAAAGCUCUUUCGUCGGGGAAGAAAAUGACUGUACCCGAAUAAGAAGGUCCGGCUAACUUCGUGCCAGCAGCCGCGGUAAUACGAAGGGACCUAGCGUAGUUCGGAAUUACUGGGCUUAAAGAGUUCGUAGGUGGUUGAAAAAGUUGGUGGUGAAAUCCCAGAGCUUAACUCUGGAACUGCCAUCAAAACUUUUCAGCUAGAGUUUGAUAGAGGAAAGCAGAAUUUCUAGUGUAGAGGUGAAAUUCGUAGAUAUUAGAAAGAAUACCAAUUGCGAAGGCAGCUUUCUGGAUCAUUACUGACACUGAGGAACGAAAGCAUGGGUAGCGAAGAGGAUUAGAUACCCUCGUAGUCCAUGCCGUAAACGAUGUGUGUUAGACGUUGGAAAUUUAUUUUCAGUGUCGCAGCGAAAGCGAUAAACACACCGCCUGGGGAG